rnacentral:rRNA from 1 species
AGAGUUUGAUCAUGGCUCAGAAUCAACGCUGGCGGCGUGCCUCAGACAUGCAAGUCGAACGAUUAAAGCUCUCUUCGGAGAGUGCAUAGAGUGGCGCACGGGUGAGUAACACGUAAGUAAUCUACCUUCGAGUGGGGAAUAACGUCCGGAAACGGACGCUAAUACCGCAUAAUGCAGCGGCAUCGUAAGAUGACAGUUGUUAAAGAUUUAUCGCUUGAAGAGGAGCUUGCGGCAGAUUAGCUAGUUGGUAAGGUAAUGGCUUACCAAGGCUACGAUCUGUAACCGGUCUUAGAGGACGGUCGGUCACACUGACACUGAAUAACGGGUCAGACUCCUACGGGAGGCAGCAGUCGGGAAUUUUGGGCAAUGGGCGAAAGCCUGACCCAGCAACGCCGCGUGAAGGAUGAAGUAUUUCGGUAUGUAAACUUCGAAAGAAUAGGAAGAAUAAAUGACGGUACUAUUCAUAAGGUCCGGCUAACUACGUG